rnacentral:rRNA from 1 species
CGCCCUCUUCGGAGGGAGUGGCAGACGGGUGAGUAACGCGUGGGAAACUACCUUUCGGUACGGAACAACAGUUGGAAACGACUGCUAAUACCGUAUACGUCCUUAGGGAGAAAGAUUUAUCGCCGAUAGAGGUGCCCGCGUUGGAUUAGCUUGUUGGUGAGGUAAUGGCUCACCAAGGCGACGAUCCAUAGCUGGUCUGAGAGGAUGAUCAGCCACACUGGGACUUAGACACGGCCCAG